GUCUUGCUGUUGUCGGGUGGAUCACGAUGCAAUUUUGAUUAGUAUAAUAGGUGAAAAAUUGCACGGUAUCCAUCUGUAAACCGCAGGAC
ensembl:miRNA MIR363 microRNA 363